UACGUAGGGUGCGAGCGUUAAUCGGAAUUACUGGGCGUAAAGCGUGCGCAGGCGGUUUUGUAAGACAGAGGUGAAAUCCCCGGGCUCAACCUGGGAACUGCCUUUGUGACUGCAAGGCUAGAGUACGGCAGAGGGGGAUGGAAUUCCGCGUGUAGCAGUGAAAUGCGCAGAUAUGCGGAGGAACACCGAUGGCGAAGGCAAUCCCCUGGGCCUGUACUGACGCUCAUGCACGAAAGCGUGGGGAGCAAACAGG
rnacentral:rRNA from 1 species